GGCUCCAUCAGACUGUAGCUCGGAAGCACGGCUAGCCUGCAGGGCUGCGGGACGAUGGCUCAAGCAACCAAGCGGGAGGCAACGGAGGGGGAUAGGGGAGGUAGAGGUGGGUGGAAGUGAAGAGAUAAGAGAAACUCCAACGUAUUGUGAAAAACAAUCUCCUUUCCCAAUAUCCUGGUUAAAGAGGAUCGACCGAUUAAGGGGUAAAAACAGUCCUCUAAUAGAUCCAUUUUCACAAUCUCC
rnacentral:lncRNA from 1 species